UCCGGCAGGCCUUUCCCCGGGGCCACUGGGGGCCUGUUACCGGCAGUCGCCGCCCUGCCUUGACUGCCUGGGUGAAUCAGGUGCUAAUCGAAGCCUUGGUCUUGCAGGCUCCCCUGCCUGGGUUUUCUGAGAGCUACCGAUUUAGUCCGGGUGGGGGGAUUCCUACGGCCCUGCCGCACCCACGAAGAGCGAGAAGGCUCACCCGGUGGAGAAGGUGGGCUCGGUGACUCAUCUCUGGGAUGACCUAACCUCCCGACCCUGGCGGAGCAGAUGUCCGGAUGUCAGACGUCAUACCGUGACUUUGGACGGCCAGUGUGUCCCCUUCAGAUUGUAAACUGGCUCUAGUAGUUGCAUGGGUAUGUUGAUACAAUUGCUUCCGGAAAGCCCCUUUCCUUGCUAAGCAACACGGUAAUGUCUGCGUUGUGGUUCUGCCUGGAGUGGAACACUUUCUAACCUGUAGCAGAAUUGUAACUGUCCAGAAGGAGAAUGGGUAUCCAGUUGAGUGCUUGGGGCCUUGCCAAGCAGUGUGAGCACAAGGAUGGCCCCUUCAGUGACCUCAGCAUUUGAAAGGCCACUGAUUUCCAGCCUCCAAGCAGUCUCCUGAACAUGAACUUGGUUUCCUUCUUCCACUUAAGAGGUUUGGGGACCGCGGAUCUCAGAGCACUGACAACUGGAGAGUGUGGCGUCAGGGGAAAACAGCAGGAGGAACGAAUACCCAGGUAGGUAAGCAGGGUAGAGAGACGUGGUGGAGAGUCUGGGAGGAGGUAAGUGGAGAGACGCCAGCAGGCAUGUAGUUGGGCAUCAGUCAACUACGUUGACAUGUAGAGCUCCCAGCUGGGUUGGCAGGGGCAAGGCCUGCCCAGUUGUGGAGGAAUGGAGCUGUGAGGCAGAUUGUAAGGCAGAGUAUCAGGCAAAGGGGGAAUAAGACAGAGCCCGGGUCCCUAAAGACUGGAGGAAGGUGACACUGCUGUCAGCCUACAGGUUGUAGCACGUAUGCCUGUGUGUUGUCAGUAUACCUAGUUUCCAGAAUUGUAAGCUUCAUGAGGGCAGGGACAAGUUGUCAUCAAUCUUAGUAUCCAGCACCUGAAAUAGCCCCUACUAUGUGGGGAAACCUUCAGAUGUUUGUUGAUUAAGGAGAGAAAACACAACUGGGAGAUUGUUGCAUUUAUCCAGAUGUAAGGUUCACAAAUAAUUCAUCCCUUUAUAUGCCAGAUACUCUGUCAAUGCUGUAUCUACUUAGCCUGCCUUUCUAGAGCAAUGCAAUUUCCAUGUGGGAUGGCUGUGAUCUAGGAGUGACCAAAGUCCUACUGUGCCUUGUUUUUAAAACUGAUGCAGUAUAUACUGGUGAGAGAGAGACAGAAAGACAGAGAGAGAGAGAGAGAGAGAGAGAGAGGGGCGGGGGGGGGGGGGGGGGAGAGAGGGGGGGGGGGGGGGGAGAGAGAGAGAGAGGGAGGGAGAUUGAACACAGUGCUUGCAUGUGUUGCUGUGCCCUUCCUCUUGAUUUGCAGCCAUAGCUGUGGUUGGCAGAGCCCAGCUCUGUAAUUCUGCCCUUGACGUCAUGCUGUUCUUUGAGCUUUGGUUAGGAAAGCAGUCCUGGCUUAUGAACAUCAUCUUGCAGGUUGGCUAUGGUUCCUUUUCUUGUCGGGAAUGGUUUGACUCCACCUCUGCACUCCCCUCUCUCUACUAAGGAAGGUCUACCUGAGACAACAAACAGGUCCUUUAAAACCCUUCAUGGUGAAAAAAACAGAAGCCUUUCAUGGUCGAUGAUCCCAGCCCAAAACAGCUGACAAAAUCUGAACAACGAAUGUAUUUUAGGUUCAGUAGAAUAAUUGCCCUUUCCAUCUGUGUGUGACAAGGCUGGCAUAAGAUACAACCUGGGCCUUCCUUUGUAUUCUAGCUCAUCUGGGUGCAAGGAGACACACCAAGUACUUCCCUGAUGAUGGUCAGAAACGUCUGCAGCCCUUGGAGAGCAAAUGCAGCCCCUGCCAGUGUUGUUUGUGCAGUGGGCCCAUAGGGAUGAGAUAUUUUAGGGACGAGAUUUCUUUCUCUGUGUGUCUCUUUCUCUCACUUGAUAACCACUCAAAUGUACACUAAUAGGUGAUGUUAGCUGGUUUCAUGUGUGUAGCUAAGUGAUUCAGACUGUUUUCACGGUCUCCAGAUCUUCCUAAAACCCUAUUCAAAGUGACUGCAUGGCCUGCAAUCUAGUGGAGAGUGGGAUAGCCCCUGAGUGUCCCUGGCCAGAGGAUCCGUCUGCAUUUACCACACCUGCGUGCCCAGCUGCCCUCUGGGAGGCGUACUUCUGCUUCUUCAAAUGCCUUUGGUGGUUGGGGGCAGCCCUGAACUGAAGACACGAGAGAACAUGGCAAGAGAAGCCCCAGCUCUGAGAAACAGCUGGGCAGGGGCAGCUCCCCUUAGAGAGACUGAUCCGCACCUGCGGAAUGUUACUGUAGAGUUCUUUCCUACUGAAGAGCUUCAUGUUGGUUAGUUUUGUUUGUUUUUUUCCCCCUUUUAUGUGAAACAGAAAUUGAACUAGAUCUGAAGACAUUAAAAAGUGUCUGGGUAGGGGGCUGGAUGGAGAAGGGGGUUUCCUCAGAGGAUGGAAUGUCCCAAGAGAAAUUUCACUUGUCGUGAGAGGGGAAGUCCGUUUCAUAUGACGUAGUGGUGUCAUUGUUCAACACUCUGUUGGGCAAUUUGUUAAUAUUUAUCAUUAUUUUGAUUUGUCAUUCAUCAUUAAAACCCUGUGAAUUACAGAAAGACCAUUAUACAUAAAGUGCUACUCAGGCUAAACAAUAGAUCAGGAUCAUUUUCUUUCCUAUACACGACGGGGCGUUUGUGUUUUCUCACUGACCAUCUCUUGGUCUGCAGGAGACCACCUGCCUCCACCCAGACAAGACAAUUUCACUCAGAGCUGCGUAUUGCUGUUCAAAGACUGGCACCUUUCCAGUGCUUGUUGGCCUGCACUUUUUACCAUCUCUGUCAUACCUGUGUGUCCUUUCUAUGCAGGGCUUCAACUCCAGAUCUGCAUAGACAGCCACUAGCACAGGAGCAACUGCUGCAAGGAGGAUCAAGCCACGGUAGCACGAGGUGUAUUCAGUUCACAGGAAGUUAGGGUGUGUUUCUCUUUCACCUCUCAUACAUCCAGUAACCCCUGAAAGAGGGCAGGAAGGUCUGAGGCAAUGCUCGCCCUGAUUCACCAACACACAACUUGCAUACUGUACAGACUAGAGCAAUGUCUCAAUCUAAAAACAUUUAUAUUUGGCUUUAUAAUGGCAUCAGUUUCUCCCCAUUCUGCUUCAAAAUACAAGGGAGUCCUUACUUUACGUCUCUUGUAAUUAAAGGGUCCACGAUGGUGCUUACCCUAUCAAAGGCACAGUUUGUCUUCAAGGUGAUGUGAGAUCUGUCUCUAAACAUAGAAAACUUUGUGACUUUUAAAUAGCAGUCUCCUCUCCUGCUUGUCGAGGUUUUGUAAGGCAGCCCGAGGGCAAGUGCAGUGGUUGCUUAGAGAGAGAGAUAAUUGAUAUAUAAGACAGUGUGGUAUGUGGACGUCUUUCCUCACUGCAGUGCUUCUAAAAAUGUGUAUAAUUUUUUGAAGUAUAGUCAUUUACAAUGUUGUGUUGGUUUCAUGUGUAUAGCUAAGUGAUUCAGUUAUAUAUAUUACACAUUUUCAGAUUAUUUUUCAUUAUAGGUUAUUGCAAGAUAUUGAAUAUAACAAAAAAAUGUACAAUUUAAGGGGAACUUUGCUUUUAAAAUCUCACUAUGUUCGUUGCAGUCGUAACAACCAAGCAAACGGGGCAGGAAGCUCUCUGCUUUGUGGUUAUUUUAUUCAAGCCAUGUAUGAAGUUUCUUUUUGGUA